CAGGGAGACAACAAAAUGUUUAAUAUUAUUAUUUUGUCACCUUAGGUCGAUCGGUAUCUCACGUUUUUAAUUUAUUAAGAAUUUCAUUUCCUAAGUUUUUCUAGGUCACACCCAUUUUUUCCUGGGCCAUUAGCUCAGGUGGUUAGAGCGCACCCCUGAUAAGGGUGAGGUCCCUGGUUCAAGUCCAGGAUGGCCCAUAUCUCUAUGUUGGGGGUAUAGCUCAGUUGGUAGAGCGCCUGCUUUGCAAGCAGGAUGUCAGCGGUUCGAGUCCGCUUACCUCCACUGAUUACCACCUCUUCCAUAAUCUGUAGAAAGGAAAAAUUUUUGAGUUGUGACCAUUUUUCUGAACGAAUCUAGCUUCCUAAUGAAACCAUUAAGAUGCUGGACUCAUUGAAUUAAUUUCAUUGUUUUCAGAGAACCUUGACAACUGCAUAGAUUAUUUUUAAAGACAAUAAGCAUCUUUAAUGAUGCAGAUUUAUUAUUUGUGCAAAUGCAUUAAUAACAAUUCUAUUAAGCUGAUGCUUCAAUUUUGAAGUUAUU
rnacentral:tRNA from 1 species